UGGGGAAUUUUGGACAAUGGGCGCAAGCCUGAUCCAGCAAUGCCGCGUGUGUGAAGAAGGCCUUCGGGUUGUAAAGCACUUUUGUCCGGAAAGAAAACCUCGUGGUUAAUACCCGUGGGGGAUGACGGUACCGGAAGAAUAAGCACCGGCUAACUACGUGCCAGCAGCCGCGGUAAUACGUAGGGUGCAAGCGUUAAUCGGAAUUACUGGGCGAAAAGCGUGCGCAGGCGGUUCGCUAAGACAGAUGUGAAAUCCCCGGGCUUAACCUGGGAACUGCAUUUGUGACUGGCGGGCUAGAGUAUGGCAGAGGGGGGUAGAAUUCCACGUGUAGCAGUGAAAUGCGUAGAGAUGUGGAGGAAUACCGAUGGCGAAGGCAGCCCCCUGGGCCAAUACUGACGCUCAUGCACGAAAGCGUGGGGAGCAAACAGG
rnacentral:rRNA from 1 species